rnacentral:tRNA from 1 species
CGUUAAGAAGCUAUGUACUAGCACUAGCCUUUUAAGCUAGAGAAAGAGGAACAAUAAACCCUCCUUAAUGA